rnacentral:lncRNA from 1 species
GUGUUGUGCAAAUGUCAAGAUUUAAUAUUAGAGGCAGAAAACAGAUGUUGUGUUUUUAUUCUAUAAUUAAUGGGAUGUGCUAUGCCAUAAGUAUACCUUGCAAUUUGUUGCCUUUGCUAUUCUAAUACCUUUCUUCAAUGUCUGUCCUUGGAAGAGUUCCAGAGUAAGACAAAAACUAUAGAGAGAAUACAAUAGAGAGAAUAUGAAACCAGGCCAGGAUUAAGUAAGAGACUUGGUUCCAGAAGACACUAAAACAGUAUCUGCAAAGAUACAACCUAGUGUCUUGAGUGUUCCUAGGAUGCAUAGGAUUGGAGAGGAGCUAUCAAGGUAAGACCUCUGUACAAUCCUCAGGCAAUGAAACAAUAUCUAGUUCUCUACCUUAAAACGCUACUAGCUAGGGUGAUCUUUCUGGACCCUAAAUGACAAAGUCUGUAGUCAUAUACCAUCAACCUAAAGGAGAGACAGUGAUCUGCCUAUGUACUGGCAAAUAAUCUUCAGAAGAAAAUAGUGAUUAGAACUGAAAUUAUUAUAUUUAGCAGAUAUUUAUAUCCCUUCCAGUCCCCAUUCUUAUUUUAUACCUUAAUGCAGGCCUAUAGUUUGGUAAUUUUAAUACAACUACUUGCUGGGGCUAACCAGGGCCUGUCAACAGCUCCUCUCAGUGUUCUAGAAUAGAAAUUGGCUAAUAAAAAC